AUUGAACGCUGGCGGCAGGCUUAACACAUGCAAGUCGAGCGGGGUGAUGGUGCUUGCACUAUCACUUAGCGGCGGACGGGUGAGUAAUGCUUAGGAAUCUGCCUAUUAGUGGGGGACAACAUCUCGAAAGGGAUGCUAAUACCGCAUACGUCCUACGGGAGAAAGCAGGGGAUCACUUGUGACCUUGCGCUAAUAGAUGAGCCUAUGUCGGAUUAGCUAGUUGGUGGGGUAAAGGCCUACCAAGGCGACGAUCUGUAGCGGGUCUGAGAGGAUGAUACGCCACACUGGGACUGAAACACGGCCCAGAGUCCUACGGGAGGCAGCAGUGGGGAAUAUUGGACAAUGGGGGGAACCCUGAUCCAGCCAUGCCGCGUGUGUGAAGAAGGCCUUAUGGUUGUAAAGCACUUUAAGCGAGGAGGAGGCUCUUUUGGUUAAUACCCAAGAUGAGUGGACGUUAUUCGCAGAAUAAGCACCGGCUAACUCUGUGCCAGCCGCCGCGGUAAGAC
rnacentral:rRNA from 1 species